rnacentral:rRNA from 1 species
UACGUAGGGUGCGAGCGUUAUUCGGAAUUACUGGGCGUAAAGGGUGCGUAGGCGGCGCGGCAAGUCGGGCGUGAAAUCUCGGGGCUUAACUCCGAAACUGCAUUCGAUACUGCCGUGCUUGAGGACUGGAGAGGAGACUGGAAUUUACGGUGUAGCGGUGAAAUGCGUAGAUAUCGGAAGGAAGACCAGUGGCGAAGGCGGGUCUCUGGACAGUUCCUGACACUGAGACACGAAGGCCAGGGGAGCAAACGGG